AGAGUUUGAUCAUGGCUCAGGACGAACGCUGGCGGCGUGCCUAAUACAUGCAAGUCGAGCGAGCGGAACUAACAGAUUUACUUCGGUAAUGACGUUAGGAAAGCGAGCGGCGGAUGGGUGAGUAACACGUGGGGAACCUGCCCCAUAGUCUGGGAUACCACUUGGAAACAGGUGCUAAUACCGGAUAAGAAAGCAGAUCGCAUGAUCAGCUUUUAAAAGGCGGCGUAAGCUGUCGCUAUGGGAUGGCCCCGCGGUGCAUUAGCUAGUUGGUAAGGUAAAGGCUUACCAAGGCGAUGAUGCAUAGCCGAGUUGAGAGACUGAUCGGCCACAUUGGGACUGAGACACGGCCCAAACUCCUACGGGAGGCAGCAGUAGGGAAUCUUCCACAAUGGACGCAAGUCUGAUGGAGCAACGCCGCGUGAGUGAAGAAGGUUUUCGGAUCGUAAAGCUCUGUUGUUGGUGAAGAAGGAUAGAGGUAGUAACUGGCCUUUAUUUGACGGUAAUCAACCAGAAAGUCACGGCUAACUACGUGCCAGCAGCCGCGGUAAUACGUAGGUGGCAAGCGUUGUCCGGAUUUAUUGGGCGUAAAGCGAGCGCAGGCGGAAGAAUAAGUCUGAUGUGAAAGCCCUCGGCUUAACCGAGGAACUGCAUCGGAAACUGUUUUUCUUGAGUGCAGAAGAGGAGAGUGGAACUCCAUGUGUAGCGGUGGAAUGCGUAGAUAUAUGGAAGAACACCAGUGGCGAAGGCGGCUCUCUGGUCUGCAACUGACGCUGAGGCUCGAAAGCGUGGGUAGCGAACAGGAUUAGAUACCCUGGUAGUCC
rnacentral:rRNA from 1 species